CGUUGACCUCGGAUCAGGUAGGAAUACCCGCUGAACUUAAGCAUAUCAAUAAGCGGAGGAAAAGAAACCAACAGGGAUUGCCUCAGUAACGGCGAGUGAAGCGGCAACAGCUCAAAUUUGAAAUCUGGCCCAGGCCCGAGUUGUAAUUUGCAGAGGAUGCUUUUGGCGCGGUGCCUUCCGAGUUCCCUGGAAACGGGACGCCAUAGAGGGUGAGAGCCCCGUCUGGUUGGACACCAAGCCUUUGUAAAGCUCCUUCGACGAGUCGAGUAGUUUGGGAAUGCUGCUCUAAAUGGGAGGUACAUGUCUUCUAAAGCUAAAUACCGGCCAGAGACCGAUAGCGCACAAGUAGAGUGAUCGAAAGAUGAAAAGCACUUUGGAAAGAGAGUUAAACAGCACGUGAAAUUGUUAAAAGGGAAGCGUUUAUGACCAGACGUGGGCCGGUUAAUCAUCCAGCGUUCUCGCUGGUGCACUUUGCCGGUCCAGGCCAGCAUCAGUUCGUUGCGGGGGAUAAAGGCUUUGGGAAUGUAGCUCCUCGGAGUGUUAUAGCCCUUUGCGUAAUACCCUGCGGCGGACUGAGGUUCGCGCUCUGCAAGGAUGCUGGCGUAAUGGUCAUCAACGACCCGUCUUGAAACACGGACCAAGGAGUCGUCUUCGUAUGCGAGUGUUCGGGUGUAAAACCCCUACGCGAAAUGAAAGUGAACGCAGGUGAGAGCUUCGGCGCAUCAUCGACCGAUCCUGAUGUUCUCGGAUGGAUUUGAGUAAGAGCAUACGGGGCCGGACCCGAAAGAAGGUGAACUAUGCCUGUAUAGGGUGAAGCCAGAGGAAACUCUGGUGGAGGCUCGCAGCGGUUCUGACGUGC
rnacentral:rRNA from 1 species